AUUGAACGCUGGCGGCAGGCCUAACACAUGCAAGUCGAGCGAGCGGCGGACGGGUGCGUAAGGUCUGGGAAACUGCCUGAUGGAGGGGGAUAACUACUGGAAACGGCAGCUAAUACCGCAUACCAUCAGAUCUGCCCAGAUGGGAUUAGCUGGUGGGUGGGGUAACGGCUCACCUAGGCGACGAUCCCUAGCUGGUCUGAGAGGAUGACCAGCCACACUGGAACGGAGACACGGGCCAAACUCCUACGUGAGGCAGCAGUGGGGAAUAUUGCACAAGGGGCGCAAGCCUGAUGCGGCCAUGCCGCGUGUGUGAAGAAGGCCUUCGGGUUGUAAAGCCCUUUCAGCGGGGAGGCGUUACCCGCAGAGGAAGCACCGGCUAACUCCGUGCCAGCCGCCGCGGUAAUUC
rnacentral:rRNA from 1 species